rnacentral:lncRNA from 1 species
GGAGCCCGCUGUCCUCCUCAUCUUGGACACACAUUCCGACGACAGCUUGCAGGAGCCUGAACUGCAGGCUUUUAUAAUUUGUGAAGAAGAUAUAGAGAAACGAGCUACCCAGCUGCUUCCCGUGAGAAAUAAGAUGUCCCUAUGGUUAAAGGAAGUGUGUUCGGGAAGGGCAAACACCUCCAGAAACUACCAGACUCGGCCGAGGAUACCUCAGAGGAACUUCUCCAGAAACAAGGACAUUGGCUCUAGCGUGGGACGGGGGACAGGAUGCCUGUCCUCAGGGAGUGGUGGGCUGCUUUGCACCUGCAGACCCUCAUUCAUCCUGCAAGCCCCUCCUUUCUGAGAGACCACCACACGAGACACACAGAGGGCAGAUGACAGU